CACGUAGGGCGCGAGCGUUGUCCGGAAUUAUUGGGCGUAAAGAGCUCGUAGGCGGCCUGUUGCGUCCGCUGUGAAAGCCCGGGGCUUAACCCCGGGUCUGCAGUGGAUACGGGCAGGCUAGAGGUAGGUAGGGGAGAAUGGAAUUCCCGGUGUAGCGGUGAAAUGCGCAGAUAUCGGGAGGAACACCGGUGGCGAAGGCGGUUCUCUGGGCAGUUGCUGACAUUGAGGCGCGACAGCGUGGGGAGCAAACAGG
rnacentral:rRNA from 1 species